AGCUCUGCAGUAUUUGUUUACGUUGGAUUGCAAAUCCAAAGCAGGAGGUGACUCUCCCGGGGCUU
rnacentral:tRNA from 1 species